UGGGGAAUAUUGGACAAUGGGGGGAACCCUGAUCCAGCCAUGCCGCGUGUGUGAAGAAGGCCUUAUGGUUGUAAAGCACUUUAAGCGAGGAGGAGGCUCUUCUAGUUAAUACCUAGGAUGAGUGGACGUUACUCGCAGAAUAAGCACCGGCUAACUCUGUGCCAGCAGCCGCGGUAAUACAGAGGGUGCGAGCGUUAAUCGGAUUUACUGGGCGUAAAGCGUGCGUAGGCGGCUUUUUAAGUCGGAUGUGAAAUCCCCGAGCUUAACUUGGGAAUUGCAUUCGAUACUGGGAAGCUAGAGUAUGGGAGAGGAUGGUAGAAAUUCCAGGUGUAGCGGUGAAAUGCGUAGAGAUCUUGGAGGAAUACCGAUGGCGAAGGCAGCCAUCUGGCCUAAUACUGACGCUGAGGUACGAAAGCAUGGGGAGCAAACA
rnacentral:rRNA from 1 species